AGCGUGAAAUUCCUCCCUUUGGCUCCAGGGGCUGGUGGGGCUGGAAACCCCAGAGGGAUGCCUUAUGGCCUCAUUGUUACAAUAGGCACCGGCGUGUCUGCUGACCUCAGCUACACAAAGCCCUCUCUCCUCCAAGGCUCCUCCAGAGAGGGCUGCUGACGCUUGGUCCACUGCCGGCCAGCUUUUGCCAAGAGACCGCAGCAAACCCAUCCUGGUGUUCUCUUUACCAGAAGAUGUGUGCUCCCCAAACACGAACAGACUUCAGCACGGGAGAUAUAGCUAAGGCAAAUCAUAGCCAACACUUACACAGAGUGACAACUCCCAUCGUGGGAUCUGGGCACCUCGAAACCUCAUGGCUACCAAGUCCUUACUAAUGCUUUCUGGGAGACAACAAGAAAGUGAUCUUUGGAGACCGGGGUACCAGCCUCAGCCGCACCUCUAGCUGUGUGCAAAUGAUUUCACCUCUUUGUCCCUCAGUCCUUCAUGUGUAAAAUGAGCCUAUCUCACCGGGUUGUCAAGAGGAUUAAACGAGCAGAUUUGGGGGAAGUGCCCGGCUCGUGGGACACUGGCACGAGCGGGGGACACCACUUAGAAGCACGGCCUGGUGGGGAGGCCAGCAAGGGCCCGAGCGGCACAGCGAUGCUUCGGAGGGACGCCGAACGGUUCUUGGGAGUGGAAACUGCCAGGGCUAAGCUUGAAGCUCUGAAAGCACUCAGCUCUCGGGAGUUCAAGAACUUUUGAUGGGUUCCAAGGGGACAGCACACGGGAGCUGGCAGGAGCUCCACAAACCAUCUGAUGGUCUGUGAGGCCGCUGCCCUGGCUCCCCGGGUCCUAUUUCUUCUUCCCCCCAGGCUGCCAGCUCAGGGACCUCCAUCCAACUCCUCUUUAUUUGCCUGUUAUCGGGGGCCCGUGACUUGAAACAAGCCACCUCUGUGUGUCCCCUUUGAUCCUGCCCCCUCGGCCGGCGGGCUCUAGUUUGCUGAAGUGGCCACUGAUGACUAUCAGGUAAAAGCUGAAGUCCCAGGAGUGGCACCCCCACAGAGCGACAGGAGCUCAAGGGCAGACUUGGCAUCGUGGACUCACUAUCAUCCUUUCUGACUCCUCCGACCCUGGCUGGUGACACACAAGACUCCCAAACAGACACGGUCCCUAUCUCCCAGGCUCCGAAGGUACAUAUUCCUAAUCAGUUACUUUUAAUAGCCUUGAAGAUACCCCAGCCACAUCCUGUUGCAAACAGCCACGGGGUGUCUGGGAGGUCAGCGGCCUCCCGCCCGCUCCGAGCUGCUCUGCUGUGCUCUGGAUGCUUCUCCUGCGGGCGCCGUGAGGCGAGGGGCCCUCCUUACACGCCUCUCCUCUCGGCUGCCGUCUAACCAGGCCUCGUCCCUCAGUACUUUUCCUCUUUCCUUCGUAGAAGUCAUGCAGUCUGCUUCCGCUGCCUGUGUGCGAACCCUUCAGGACUGGGCUGUCUUUUUAUAAAGAGUUUCCUAGAAAUAUCUCAGCUCUGGGACCUUCUUUUUUCAGGUUAAAAGGGAAGAAUUCUGGAAAGGUGGUGUAUUUUUUUUUUUUUUGGUCCAUAUUCUUUCACUUGUCUAAUUUAAAUAACUUAAAGAACAUAUUUCUCAUUAUAGGGAUAAGAAUACAAUUACCUUGACCACAGCCAUUUGCUUGCUUGCUUUUUUUUUUUUUAAAAAGAAAACAAACAUAACCUGCACACCAUCUGUGAUAUUAUUCCUUGAUAUU